GACGAACCGAGCGAACGUUAUUCGGAAUCACUGGGCUUAAAGGGCGCGUAGGCGGGCCGUCAAGUCAGGGGUGAAAGCCCCCAGCUCAACUGGGGAAGUGCCUCUGAUACUGACGGCCUCGAGGGAGAUAGGGGCGUGCGGAACUUCCGGUGGAGCGGUGAAAUGCGUAGAUAUCGGAAGGAACACCGGUGGCGAAAGCGGCGCGCUGGAUCUCUUCUGACGCUGAGGCGCGAAAGCGUGGGGAGCGAACAGG
rnacentral:rRNA from 1 species